rnacentral:lncRNA from 1 species
GUAAAAUUUUAUAUCACUAAAGUAAUGUAUCCUAUUCUACCUGCUUUUAUACUACAUGUGUAUAUCUGUUCAAAAAGUAACCAACUUAAGAGAAUUGUUUUAAGAUGUUUGUAUAGCUUCUUAGGAUUUAGUGUCUUUUAUAGUACCACAAUGAAAAUAAUUUUUUAAUUGAAUUGAAUAAAUAUUAAUUCAUACAGUAAUGUCGCAAUGUAUACAUAAAUGCAAACAUGCACACAUACAUAUUUUUCUUGAUCAAAACCUUUUGAUAGAGAUCAAAUGUGGGUGUGUGUGUAUAUAUAUGUGUGUGUGUGUAUAUACAUAUAUAUAUAUAUUCCCCUUAUGUCUGCUAUAAAGUAUGUGAUAUUUUAUUGCUUUCUUCUUUUUGUUUCAUAAUAUUUAGAUGACUAAAACAUAACUGUGUUAAAACAAUGUGAAUUAAUGUGCCAAUGUGUGUAGUUAUAUAUUAAUCAUGCAAAGGCUGUUGUAUAAUAUAGGUACUCUGCUACAUUUUACAUAUCUGCUUUUUGAGGAAUAAAUACCAGAAAGAAGUGGCCUACAUAAAUCCAAAUGGCUUUAGACAUUUCAAGUACUGGAAAACAAGAUUAUAACUAUUUAUGAAGAAAUGGAACAUCCUUGCUGAAAUCAUCCUGCAACAAGUUGUGCUUUCAUUUAUAAUUGAAAACACCAAACUCUAAUGCUUGAAAAUAAAAUCUAAUAAUCUGUAGUUGGUUGAAUUCAUGGAUGAAGAACCCAUCAAUAUGGAGGACUGACUGUAGCUUUCUUGUUGAGAAACUCAGCAGAGGAAAUAUAGCAUGACAUACUAUCUAACGGAUCUGGAUCCUUUCAUCCACCUGCCUUCUUGGCUACAGUACUCAUGGCAAGCUCUGUAGGAGACACAACUCAUGGCUCAGACAGGACCUAACAGCUUUCUCUGGCUGACUCUACUCAACUUUGGUUCCCACUGACUCAGCCUGCAGAUUAUCUUUGCGGUGCUCCAUUCAUUCCUGUUGGUCAGUCUUCUCCCAAUCUUUGUGUAUUCCCUAAAAAAAUGUACCUCAUGAAAGGUAAUUGCCUGGCAAUUCAGCAUCCAUUCCUGAUGAAAACUGAGGAAAACUCAGAGAAAGUAACCCCAGCUCCACAGAAUUUUGCCAAGUUAUUUUUGCUACAUUUAAGCUUCAUACAAGGUGACUCAAGAGUUGUCUUAAUUCCUGAAAAAAAGGGAAGAUAUGUUCUUUUCCUUAUCAUUCCACUUAACUCCAUCAUGUAAUAUAUCUCCUGCUCACCAAACCAAAGACUUAAAAGAAAAAUGUCUACUCAUCUCUGAUUGAUUCACUCUUCCUCCUUGUAUCUUUCUUUCUACUAAUUCUCAAGAAAAUAAAAAGACGUUUGCUUUAAAA